rnacentral:misc_RNA from 1 species
UAACCAAUCCAGCCUGGCUGGGUCUUGGGCUCCGCCAUCCGGCGGGCCUUAAAAUCAGUGGCGGUGCUGCCAGGCUCUAAGCGUAGUAAAUACCUCGCUAUAGGGUCCUGGUGGAGGCUUGCCAACAACCCCCAACUUCUUA